rnacentral:rRNA from 1 species
UACGGGGGGGCAAGCGUUGUUCGGAAUUACUGGGCGUAAAGGGCUCGUAGGUGGCCAACUAAGUCAGACGUGAAAUCCCUCGGCUUAACCGGGGAACUGCGUCUGAUACUGGAUGGCUUGAGUUCGGGAGAGGGAUGCGGAAUUCCAGGUGUAGCGGUGAAAUGCGCAGAUAUCAGGAGGAACACCGGUGGCGAAGGCGGGUCUCUGGGCCGAUACUGACGCUGAGGAGCGAAAGCGUGGGGGAGCGAACAGG